rnacentral:rRNA from 1 species
UUGAACGCUGGCGGAAUGCUUUACACAUGCAAGUCGAGCGGCAGCGCGGGGGCAACCCUGGCGGCGAGCGGCGAACGGGUGAGUAACAUAUCGGAACGUACCCAGACGUGGGGGACAACUAGUCGAAAGACUAGCUAAUACCGCAUACGUCCUACGGGAGAAAGCGGGGGCUCGCAAGACCUCGCGCGUUUGGAGCGGCCGAUAUCUGAUUAGCUAGAUGGUGGGGUAAAGGCUCACCAUGGCGACGAUCAGUAGCUGGUCUGAGAGGAUGAGCAGCCACACUGGAACUGAGACACGGUCCAGACUCCUACGGGAGGCAGCAGUGGGGAAUUUUGGACAAUGGGGGAAACCCUGAUCCAGCCAUGCCGCGUGAGUGAAGAAGGCCUUCGGGUUGUAAAGCUCUUUCGGCAGGAACGAAACGGCGGAUACUAAUAUUAUCCGUUACUGACGGUACCUGAAGAAGAAGCACCGGCUAACUACGU